rnacentral:rRNA from 1 species
UGGGGAAUAUUGCACAAUGGGCGAAAGCCUGAUGCAGCAACGCCGCGUGGGUGAUGAAGGUUUUCGGAUCGUAAAGCCCUGUCUUUUGGGACGAUAAUGACGGUACCAAAGGAGGAAGCCACGGCUAACUACGUGCCAGCAGCCGCGGUAAUACGUAGGUGGCAAGCGUUGUCCGGAUUUACUGGGCGUAAAGGGAGCGUAGGCGGACCUUUAAGUGAGAUGUGAAAUACCCGAGCUCAACUUGGGUGCUGCAUUUCAAACUGGAGGUCUAGAGUGUCGGAGAGGUAAGUGGAAUUCCUAGUGUAGCGGUGAAAUGCGUAGAGAUUAGGAAGAACCCCGGUGGCGAAGGCGACUUACUGGACGAUAACUGACGCUGAGGCUCGAAAGCGUGGGGAGCAAACAGGAUUAGAUACCCUGGUAGU